rnacentral:rRNA from 1 species
UAGCUAGUUGGUGAGGUAAAGGCUUACCAAGGCGACGAUCUGUAGCGGGUCUGAGAGGAUGAUCCGCCACACUGGAACUGAGACACGGUCCAGAUUCCUACGGGAGGCAGCAGUGGGGAAUUUUGGACAAUGGGGGCAACCCUGAUCCAGCCAUGCCGCGUGAGUGAAGAAGGCCUUCGGGUUGUAAAGCUCUUUCGGCCGGGAAGAAAUCGCAUGGGCCAAUACCCUGUGUGGAUGACGGUACCGGAAUAAGAAGCACCGGCUAACUACGUGCCAGCAGCCGCGGUAAUACGUAGGGUGCGAGCGUUAAUCGGAAUUACUGGGCGUAAAGCGUGCGCAGGCGGUUUUGUAAGACAGGCGUGAAAUCCCCGGGCUUAACCUGGGAACUGCGUUUGUGACUGCAAGGCUAGAGUACGGCAGAGGGGGGUGGAGUUCCACGUGUAGCAGUGAAAUGCGUAGAGAUGUGGAGGAACACCAAUGGCGAAGGCAGCCCCCUGGGUCGAUACUGACGCUCAUGCACGAAAGCGUGGGUAGCAAACAGGAUUAGAUACCCUGGUAGUCCACGCCCUAAACUAUGUCAACUAGGUGUUGGGUGGGUAAAACCAUUUAGUACCGUAGCUAACGCGUGAAGUUGACCGCCUGGGGAGUACGGCCGCAAGGUUAAAACUCAAAGGAAUUGACGGGGACCCGCACAAGCGGUGGAUGAUGUGGAUUAAUUCGAUGCAACGCGAAAAACCUUACCUACCCUUGACAUGCCAGGAACUUGCCAGAGAUGGCUUGGUGCCCGAAAGGGAGCCUGGACACAGGUGCUGCAUGGCUGUCGUCAGCUCGUGUCGUGAGAUGUUGGGUUAAGUCCCGCAACGAGCGCAACCCUUGUCGUUAAUUGCCAUCAUUUAGUUGGGCACUUUAACGAGACUGCCGGUGACAAACCGGAGGAAGGUGGGGAUGACGUCAAGUCCUCAUGGCCCUUAUGGGUAGGGCUUCACACGUCAUACUAUGGUCGGUACAAAGGGUUGCCAAGCCGCGAGGCGGAGCCAAUCCCAGAAAGCCGAUCGUAGUCCGGAUUGCAGGCUGCAACUCGCCUGCAUGAAGUCGGAAUCGCUAGUAAUCGUGGAUCAGCAUGUCACGGUGAAUACGUUCCCGGGUCUUGUACACACCGCCCGUCACACCAUGGGAGCGGGUUCCGCCAGAAGUAGGUAGCCUAACCGCAAGGGGGGCGCUUACCACGGCGGGGUUCGUGACUGGGGUGAAGUCGAAACAAGGUAGCCGUAGGGGAACCUGCGGCUG